rnacentral:rRNA from 1 species
AUUGAACGCUGGCGGAAUGCUUUACACAUGCAAGUCGAACGGCAGCACGGGGGCAACCCUGGUGGCGAGUGGCGAACGGGUGAGUAAUACAUCGGAACGUGCCCGGUCGUGGGGGAUAACGUAGCGAAAGUUACGCUAAUACCGCAUACGAUCUGAGGAUGAAAGCGGGGGACCUUCGGGCCUCGCGCGAUCGGAGCGGCCGAUGUCAGAUUAGGUAGUUGGUGGGGUAAAGGCCUACCAAGCCGACGAUCUGUAGCUGGUCUGAGAGGACGACCAGCCACACUGGGACUGAGACACGGCCCAGACUCCGACGGGAGGCAGCAGUGGGGAAUUUUGGACAAUGCGCGCAAGCCUGAUCCAGCCAAUCCGCGUGCAGGAUGAAGGCCUUCGGGUUGUAAACUGCUUUUGUAUGGAACGAAAAGGCUCUGGCUAAUACCUGAGGCUCAUGACGGUACCGGAAGAAUAAGCACCGGCUAACUACGUG